UACGAAGGGGGCUAGCGUUGUUCGGAAUUACUGGGCGUAAAGGGCGCGUAGGCUGUGCUGUAAGUCAGGCGUGAAAUCCCCGGGCUCAACCUGGGAGGGUCGUGGGAAACGGGGAAGCUGGAGGCAGCGAGAGGCUGGUGGAAUUCCCGGAGUAGUGGUGAAAUGCGUAGAGAUCGGGAGGAACACCGGUGGCGAAGGCGGCCAGCUGGCGCUGACCUGACGCUGAGGCGCGAAGGCGUGGGGAGCGAACGGG
rnacentral:rRNA from 1 species